GUGUCAGCCGCCGCGGUAAUACGAAGGGGGCUAGCGUUGUUCGGAAUCACUGGGCGUAAAGCGCGCGUAGGCGGAUUGUUAAGUCAGGGGUGAAAUGCCGAGGCUCAACCUCGGAACUGCCUUUGAUACUGGCAAUCUUGAGUCCGGGAGAGGUGAGUGGAACUCCUAGUGUAGAGGUGAAAUUCGUAGAUAUUAGGAAGAACACCAGUGGCGAAGGCGGCUCACUGGCCCGGAACUGACGCUGAUGUGCGAAAGCGUGGGGAGCAAACAGGAUUAGAUACCCUGGUAGUCC
rnacentral:rRNA from 1 species